rnacentral:rRNA from 1 species
CCAGGUAACCAGACUAACUAAAGCGAAAGCAUUUGUCAAGCAUGUUUUCAUUGGCCAUGAGCGAAAGUCAGAGGCUCGAAGACGAUCAGAUACCGUCCUAGUUCUGACCAUAAACGAUGCCAACUGACGAUCCGUGGUGGUAGUUCAUCAAACUUCCCCACGGGCAGUCCCCGGGAAACCUUUAAGUCUUUGGGUUCCGGGGGAAGUAUGGUUGCAAAGCUGAAACUUAAAGGAAUUGACGGAAGGGCACCACCAGGAGUGGAACCUGCGGCUUAAUUUGACUCAACACGGGAAAACUCACCCGGCCCGGACACUAUGAAGAUUGACAGAUUGAUAGCUCUUUCUUGAUUUGGUGGUUGGUGGUGCAUGGCCGUUCUUAAUUGGUGGAACGAUUUGUCUGGUUAAUUCCGAUAACGAACGAAACUCCUGCCUGCUAAUUAGUGCAUUCGUCCACUGUGCCUGUGCAGGCGGUGAUCGGCGAGGCUGCUCUCCUAUGCUGCUGUGGCUGGGUUGCCUUCGUGGUAGGCUGGUCGUGGCAGUGGGGGUGGCUGGUCCGGCGCUAGCUUCCGGGAGCGGCGCGGGUGUUAACUUCUUAUAGGGACAAGCGGGAGAAGCCGCACGAAAUAGAGCAAUAACAGGUCUGUGAUGCCCUUAGAUGUCCGGGGCCGCACGCGCGCUACAAUGACGGUGGCAAUGAGUCUGGCCUCCUGGCCCGAAAGGGUUGGGCAAACUGGUCAAUCACCGUCAUGACAGGGAUCGGGGCUUGGAAUUGUUCCCCGUGAACGACGAAUUCCUAGUAAGUGCAAGUCAUAAGCUUGCGCUGAUUACGUCCCUGCCCUUUGUACACACCGUCCGUCGCUACUACCGAUUGAAUGGCUUAGUAAGGUCAUUGGAUUGGCGCCAUUGUGGUGGUUGCCGCAAAGGUUUCUGCCCGACAAGGUGUUGAGAAGACGACCAAACUUGAUCAUUUACAGGAAGUAAAGUCUUACAAGGUUCCGAG